rnacentral:rRNA from 1 species
GACGAACGCUGGCGGCGUGCCUAAUACAUGCAAGUCGAACGCAGUGGGGACGGGUGAGUAACACGUGGGUAACCUCCCAUCAGAGGGGAUAACACUUGGUAACAGGUGCUAAACCGAUACUGAUGGAUGGAACCGCGGUGCAUUAGCUUGUUGGUGAGGUAACGGCUCACCAAGGCCACGAUGCAUAGCCGCCCUGAGAGGGGGAUCGGCCACACUGGUACGUGGACACGGCCCAGACGCAGACGGGAGGCAGCAUUAGUGAAUCUUUGGCAAUGGGCGAAAGUCGUACAGAGCCACGCCGCGUGAGUGAAGAAGGGUUUCGGAUCGUAAAACUCUUUUGUGAGAGAAGCGGUAUCUAACCAGAAAGCCACGGCUAACUACGUGCCAGCAGCCGCGGUAAUUC